CCUACGGGUGGCAGCAGUGAGGAAUAUUGGUCAAUGGACGAGAGUCUGAACCAGCCAAGUAGCGUGAAGGAUGACUGCCCUAUGGGUUGUAAACUUCUUUUAUAUGGGAAUAAAAUGUUCCACGUGUGGCUUUUUGUAUGUCCCAUAUGAAUAAGGAUCGGCUAACUCCUUGCCAGCAGCCGCGGUAAUACGGAGGAUCCGAGCGUUAUCCGGAUUUAUUGGGUUUAAAGGGAGCGUAGGUGGAUUGUUAAGUCAGUUGUGAAAGUUUGCGGCUCAACCGUAAAAUUGCAGUUGAAACUGGCAGUCUUGAGUACAGUAGAGGUGGGCGGAAUUCGUGGUGUAGCGGUGAAAUGCUUAGAUAUCACGAAGAACUCCGAUUGCGAAGGCAGCUCACUGGACUGCAACUGACACUGAGGCUCGAAAGUGUGGGUAUCAAACAGGAUUAGAUACCCCUGUAGUC
rnacentral:rRNA from 1 species